rnacentral:rRNA from 1 species
GAUUAACGCUGGCGGCGUGCAUAACACAUGCAAGUCGAACGAUGAAACUUUAAUGAACCCUUCGGGGAGAAUUAAAGCGGAUUAGUGGCGAACGGGUGAGUAACGCGUGAGUAACCUGCCUUACACAAGGGGAUAGCCUUUGGAAACGAAGAAUAAUACCCUAUAAAACCAUAAAAGCACAUGCAAUUAUGGUCAAAGUGAUAGCGGUGUAAGAUGGACUUGCGUCUGAUUAGCUAGUUGGUGAGAUAAAAGCCCACCAAGGCAACGAUCAGUAGCCGGCUUGAGAGAGUGUACGGCCACAUUGGGACUGAGACACGGCCCAGACUCCUACGGGAGGCAGCAGUGGGGAAUUUUGCACAAUGGGGGAAACCCUGAUGCAGCGACGCCGCGUGAUUUAGAAGGCCUUCGGGUUGUAAAAAUCUUCUGUAUAGGAAGAAAAUGACAGUACUAUACGAAUAAGGUCCGGCUAAUUACGUG